UAACAACGUGGAAAAAUUCAAGGUGUCUGAAUACUUUCAGAAUGCACAGUAUUGUAGAACUUCAGAUACCACAGAUAUAUAGUAUUGUAGAACAGCAGAUACCACAGAUAUAUAGUAUUGUAGAACUUCAGAUACCACAGAUAUAUAGUAUUGUAGAACAGCAGAUACCACAGAUAUAUAGUAUAGUAGAACAGCAGAAUCCAUAGAUAUAUAGUAUAGUAGAACAGCAGAAUCCACAGAUAUAUAGUAUUGUAGAACAGCAGAUACCACAGAUAUAUAGUAUAGUAGAACAGCAGAAUCCACAGAUAUAUAGUAUUGUAGAACAGCAGAUACCACAGAUAUAUAGUAUAGUAGAACAGCAGAAUCCAUAGAUAUAUAGUAUAGUAGAACAGCAGAAUCCACAGAUAUAUAGUAUUGUAGAACAGCAGAUACCACAGAUAUAUAGUAUAGUAGAACAGCAGAUACCACAGAUAUAUAGUAUUUUAUAACAUAAUUCCAUUGAGAGAGAGUAUUGUAUAACAUAUACUGUAGAUAGUAUUGUAUAACACAUACUGUAGAGAGUAUUGUAGAACAGAGAGAGAGAGUAUUGUAGAACAUAUACUGUAGAUAGUAUUGUAUAACACAUACUGUAGAGAGUAUUGUAGAACAGAUAGUAUUGUAGAACAGCGGAAUCCAUAGACGGAUAGUAUUGUGGAUCAGAGGGCUCGCAGUUGUGGAACAGAACAUUUGAUGUAUGUUGUACAUAUUCCUGAACUUGUGCCUAUUUUAUAAUCCUGACAAUAUAGUUUUCUUCUUCUUCUGUGUAUCGUUUCCCAGGAUGUAAGAAAGUGUACACCAAGUCUUCCCAUCUAAAAGCCCACCUGAGGACCCACACUGGUGAGAAGCCGUACAGGUGUUCGUGGGAGGGGUGUGACUGGCGUUUCGCCCGUUCUGAUGAGUUGACUCGUCACUUCAGGAAACACACAGGGGCCAAACCCUUCCAAUGCUCUGUCUGCUCUCGCUCCUUCUCCCGAUCGGAUCACCUGGCCCUGCAUAUGAAGAGGCACCAGAUCUAACACACACACACACUAGCUUGAAUCACAAAGACAUGCACUCAAAUCAGGAAACGUUCAACCUAAACUGUACCGUAGACCUUGUAGUUUUUAUCUUGACCUGGUCGUAGUUGGAAAUGACAACUUGUUCUCAACUGGCCUACCUGGUUAAAUAAAAUUAAAAUAAGUCUAUACCAGUGGCUCCCAAACUGUGGGCAGGGACCCACUUUUGGACAGAACCCCACCCACCCACCCACC